rnacentral:rRNA from 1 species
UGAGGAAUAUUGGUCAAUGGGCGAGAGCCUGAACCAGCCAAGUCGCGUGAAGGAAGAAGGUUCUAUGGAUUGUAAACUUCUUUUGUAAGGGAAUAAAAAGAGUUACGUGUAACUUAUUGUAUGUACUUUACGAAUAAGGAUCGGCUAACUCCGUGCCAGCAGCCGCGGUAAUACGGAGGAUCCAAGCGUUAUCCGGAUUUAUUGGGUUUAAAGGGUGCGUAGGCGGGAAAAUAAGUCAGCGGUGAAAGGUUGCAGCUCAACUGUAAAAUAGCAAUUGAAACUGUUUUUCUUGAGUGAAAAUGAGGUAGGAGGAAUGUGUUGUGUAGCGGUGAAAUGCUUGGAUAUAACACAGAACUCCGAUUGCGAAGGCAGAUUACUGGGAUGCAACUGACGCUGAGGCACGAAAGCGUGGGGGUCAAACAGGAUU